rnacentral:tRNA from 1 species
GGAGAGGUACCCGAAGUGGCCCAACGGGGGCUCGAGGUACUACCUCAGCCGGGCUCCGGCCCGCGCAGGUUCGAAUCCUGCCCUCUCCGC